UACAGAGGUCCCAAGCGUUGUUCGGAUUUACUGGGCGUAAAGGGUGCGUAGGUGGCGGGGUAAGUCUGGUGUGAAAGCUCCGAGCUCAACUCGGAAAAGCAUUGGAAACUAUCCCGCUUGAGGGUCGGAGGGGAGACUGGAAUUCUCGGUGUAGCAGUGAAAUGCGUAGAUAUCGAGAGGAACACCAGUGGCGAAGGCGAGUCUCUGGACGACUCCUGACGCUGAUGCGCGACAGCGUGGGGAGCAAACAGG
rnacentral:rRNA from 1 species